rnacentral:rRNA from 1 species
ACUCUGUUGUUGGAGAAGAACGUGCGUGAGAGCAACUGUUCACGCAGUGACGGUAUCUAACCAGAAAGUCACGGCUAACUACGUGCCAGCAGCCGCGGUAAUACGUAGGUGGCAAGCGUUAUCCGGAUUUAUUGGGCGUAAAGCGAGCGCAGGCGGUUUGAUAAGUCUGAUGUGAAAGCCUUUGGCUUAACCAAAGAAGUGCAUCGGAAACUGUCAGACUUGAGUGCAGAAGAGGGCAGUGGAACUCCAUGUGUAGCGGUG